rnacentral:rRNA from 1 species
GACGAACGCUGGCGGCGUGCCUAAUACAUGCAAGUCGAGCGAAGUUUUUCUGGUGCUUGCACUAGAAAAACUUAGCGGCGAACGGGUGAGUAACACGUAAAGAACCUGCCUCAUAGACUGGGACAACUAUUGGAAACGAUAGCUAAUACCGGAUAACAGUAUUUCUCGCAUGAGAGAUAUUUAAAAGUUGGUUAUGCUAACACUAUGAGAUGGCUUUGUGGUGCAUUAGCUAGUUGGUGGGGUAAAGGCCCACCAAGGCGACGAUGCAUAGCCGACCUGAGAGGGUGAUCGGCCACACUGGGACUGAGACACGGCCCAGACUCCUACGGGAGGCAGCAGUAGGGAAUCUUCCGCAAUGGGCGAAAGCCUGACGGAGCAACGCCGCGUGAGUGUAGAAGGAUUUCGGUUCGUAAAGCUCUGUUGUUAGGGAAGAAUGGAUAUGUAGUAACUAUACAUGUAAGAGACGGUACCUAACCAGAAAGCCACGGCUAACUACGUG